GAUGAAGAACGUAGCGAAAUGCGAUAAGUAAUGUGAAUUGUAGAAUUCAGUGAAUCAUCGAAUCUUUGAACGCACCUUGCGCCCUUUGGCUAUUCCGAAGGGCAUGCCUGUUUGAGUAUCGUGAACACCUCAACUCUCAUGGUUUGCCAUGAUGAGCUUGGACUUGGGGGUUUUGCUGGCCUUCGGUCGGCUCCUCUCAAACGGAUCAGCUUUCCAGUGUUUGGUGGCGUCACGGGUGUGAUAACUAUCUACGCCUGUGGUUUUCUGCCAGAUAACCUUCAGCGAUGGAGGUUCGCUGGGGCUCAUAAAUGUCUCUCUUCAGUGGAGACAGCUUUUUGGACGUUUGAUCUCAAAUCAGGUAGGACUACCCGCUGAACUUAAGCAUAUCAAUAAGCGGAGGA
rnacentral:misc_RNA from 1 species